UCUUUGUGUUAUAAAAGAAUUUCCGGCAAGGAUCCGUUAUUUUUUUUUUAAAAAGGUCUAUUGAUGUCUUUUGUUUUUAUAUCCUAGUCCCUUCCCAGGAACCUCACAUUGAACUCUCCUCAGUAACAUAGAAGAAAAAACAGUUGAACAUCAACAUAGUGAAGACAUCUGAGAGCUCAUGAAGCAUGCCAAAUCUGUAGUCCCCACCCCCACUCCAUUCUUCUACUAAGGAGCCCCAGAUGCCUCAGCAACCAGACCGUCCUUCUCCCAGCGACGACCCUUUCCAAGGGAGUAAAAGUCCUUUCUCUCUGGAAAUUCUGGGGCUGGCGCUGACCUGGAGAGACAAUGAGAUGUAUCCUUCCGUCUUGGUGAGAAGAGCCAGCCCCAGAAUCCCCAACCCCACGUCGGACCCUCUUCUAACCUCUUUGUAGACGUCUCAGCACCUGCCUCCCCUGAGGAAAAGCACCCCCCAAAACCCCGUCACACAGCAACAAGCCCCCGGCCCCCCUCCUGCUCCCCCUGCCCACCCCGUGCCCUGCACCGUGCCCAACUGUUCCGGAGACAGACUCGGGUUCGUCCCAGCCUCCCCGGCCCCGGUGAAUAAUUCAUGUACGAGGCUGAGGAGACAAUAAAUCAGCCGCAAUGAUUAA